rnacentral:lncRNA from 1 species
UCUCAGUCAGCAAUAUAAAGUUGCUAAUGUGUUGGGCACAACAUGAAAUCCUUUAUUAUAAUCAUGUAUUCCUCGGAGUAGGUAAGUCAAUAACUAUAGGUGGAUUUAGUGGCUGGUAAUUCACAGUGCACACAGAUGCAUUCACGUAGGUAGUAGUUCCAUCAGCCAUGACACCAUAACCUUCAUGGAUAUGUCCGAACACAUGAAGCCUUGGCUGUAUUCGUCUCUGGACUGUGUUCAGCAGCUCUACACAUCCUACCCGUUG